rnacentral:rRNA from 1 species
GGGUUGUGAGGUUAAGCGACUAAGCGUACACGGUGGAUGCCCUGGCAGUCAGAGGCGAUGAAGGACGUGCUAAUCUGCGAUAAGCGUCGGUAAGGUGAUAUGAACCGUUAUAACCGGCGAUUUCCGAAUGGGGAAACCCAGUGUGUUUCGACACACUAUCAUUAACUGAAUCCAUAGGUUAAUGAGGCGAACCGGGGGAACUGAAACAUCUAAGUACCCCGAGGAAAAGAAAUCAACCGAGAUUCCCCCAGUAGCGGCGAGCGAACGGGGAGCAGCCCAGAGCCUGAAUCAGUGUGUGUGUUAGUGGAAGCGUCUGGAAAGGCGCGCGAUACAGGGUGACAGCCCCGUACACAAAAAUGCACAUGCUGUGAGCUCGAUGAGUAGGGCGGGACACGUGGUAUCCUGUCUGAAUAUGGGGGGACCAUCCUCCAAGGCUAAAUACUCCUGACUGACCGAUAGUGAACCAGUACCGUGAGGGAAAGGCGAAAAGAACCCCGGCGAGGGGAGUGAAAAAGAACCUGAAACCGUGUACGUACAAGCAGUGGGAGCACGCUUAGGCGUGUGACUGCGUACCUUUUGUAUAAUGGGUCAGCGACUUAUAUUCUGUAGCAAGGUUAACCGAAUAGGGGAGCCGAAGGGAAACCGAGUCUUAACUGGGCGUUAAGUUGCAGGGUAUAGACCCGAAACCCGGUGAUCUAGCCAUGGGCAGGUUGAAGGUUGGGUAACACUAACUGGAGGACCGAACCGACUAAUGUUGAAAAAUUAGCGGAUGACUUGUGGCUGGGGGUGAAAGGCCAAUCAAACCGGGAGAUAGCUGGUUCUCCCCGAAAGCUAUUUAGGUAGCGCCUCGUGAAUUCAUCUCCGGGGGUAGAGCACUGUUUCGGCAAGGGGGUCAUCCCGACUUACCAACCCGAUGCAAACUGCGAAUACCGGAGAAUGUUAUCACGGGAGACACACGGCGGGUGCUAACGUCCGUCGUGAAGAGGGAAACAACCCAGACCGCCAGCUAAGGUCCCAAAGUCAUGGUUAAGUGGGAAACGAUGUGGGAAGGCCCAGACAGCCAGGAUGUUGGCUUAGAAGCAGCCAUCAUUUAAAGAAAGCGUAAUAGCUCACUGGUCGAGUCGGCCUGCGCGGAAGAUGUAACGGGGCUAAACCAUGCACCGAAGCUGCGGCAGCGACGCUUAUGCGUUGUUGGGUAGGGGAGCGUUCUGUAAGCCUGUGAAGGUGUGCUGUGAGGCAUGCUGGAGGUAUCAGAAGUGCGAAUGCUGACAUAAGUAACGAUAAAGCGGGUGAAAAGCCCGCUCGCCGGAAGACCAAGGGUUCCUGUCCAACGUUAAUCGGGGCAGGGUGAGUCGACCCCUAAGGCGAGGCCGAAAGGCGUAGUCGAUGGGAAACAGGUUAAUAUUCCUGUACUUGGUGUUACUGCGAAGGGGGGACGGAGAAGGCUAUGUUGGCCGGGCGACGGUUGUCCCGGUUUAAGCGUGUAGGCUGGUUUUCCAGGCAAAUCCGGAAAAUCAAGGCUGAGGCGUGAUGACGAGGCACUACGGUGCUGAAGCAACAAAUGCCCUGCUUCCAGGAAAAGCCUCUAAGCAUCAGGUAACAUCAAAUCGUACCCCAAACCGACACAGGUGGUCAGGUAGAGAAUACCAAGGCGCUUGAGAGAACUCGGGUGAAGGAACUAGGCAAAAUGGUGCCGUAACUUCGGGAGAAGGCACGCUGAUAUGUAGGUGAAGUCCCUCGCGGAUGGAGCUGAAAUCAGUCGAAGAUACCAGCUGGCUGCAACUGUUUAUUAAAAACACAGCACUGUGCAAACACGAAAGUGGACGUAUACGGUGUGACGCCUGCCCGGUGCCGGAAGGUUAAUUGAUGGGGU